GUAUUAUAAAAAAAGAACAAACAUAAAUAAUAUAUUUAGGCUUAAAAAAAAAAGAAUGAACUGUAAAAACAGGCCCAAAGGAGUAAAUUUGAUUUGAAUGUUUAAAUGGUCAGGUUUACGUGAGCUGGAAGUUUUAGGAAGAACCAGAAGUAAAGCUACAUUCGUGUCUCAGUCCAGACUCAUAUAUUAAGAACAGAAUAUUGUAAUCAUCUGAAAAGAUCUAGUACAUUUUUUUCCCCGUUUUUGAUAGCUUUAAAUACCAAAGUAUCGGAGCCUUUUACAUAUUGUGAUUUUCGAUUCCCUUUUGAAAAUUGAAAGAAGAAAUGCUUGCUGGAUUGUCAGGUUCUGCGUGCGCCGCUCCUAGCCGCUCACUUUUUAGCUGCUGCGCUGCAGCCUCCAUCACACAGUGACCUUCCCAAGCCCCGAUCGAGCUUUAAACCUUUCGUUAUUUUGCUUUUUGUAAAAGUUCCUUACAUUUACAGUAUGUUUUGUUCUUAAUUUGUAAGACAAUUUGAAGUUUUUAUGACCAUGUCUGUGCAAUCUUUUUUUUUUUUUUUUUUAAUUUAGUUAUGUAGGUGUUUUUACUUUAUAUUUGGAACAAAUAUGAUGACGGUAUUAAAUGCGGACUACCAAUUUCUCGGUGAAUAACAACGUGCAAUAAUCGUCAGAGUCAAAUCUAGCGUGCAGCAUAAUUAUCCAGAUGUCAGAUAAUAUUUGAGUCCAAUAUCAAUUUUUAUUGCUCUUUAUGCAAUAAUCAUGUUAGGUUUUACCAUGUAAACAGUUCGUCUUUUUUUAAUAGGCACGUAAAGCCGUUGAGUGCCUUUGAAUAAAUAUUUGCACAAAUGCCUUAAAAUAUUGUUUGAAGAGACUUUUAAGUGAAGAGUGGAAAGUCUUACCAUAAUAUUUUCCAACUAUAGUGGAAGUUUUUAUUUCUAUGAAGCGACACAAGCGAUUUAAACACAGAAGAUUGCAUCCAAAAGACCUGAAUGAUUCCCGAAAGGUCUGAUGCGUCGUGCGCGUUGGCAAGGAUAGCGCAUGAUGAAGUUAUUUUUUUUUUUUCAAAAAGCAAAACUCCCUCAGGGGAAAUAUGGCUUUUUUUAAGUAACUUUAAACGCGAGAUUUCACGUCAUAUUUAAUUUGUAAGUUAUCUGCCGUUGAUUUCCAUUUGUGUUUGAGUUGUCCCAUGUUCCUCCGUGUAUGUUUACAUGUUCGUAAUGUGCUGUUGACACAUCACCUCGACUUUUUUUUACCAAAUUCAAGCAGUAUUUCUUUAAAGAACAGUAAAGUACUGCAUUGUUUGGCAGCCACUUGUUCUUUUUAUUCACAUUUAGCUGUGUUGCUCACAUGCUUUAAAAAAAAAAAGGAAAAAAAAGCUGUCAUAUUUUUCUUUAUACCAAAAUAAAUCCAGCUGUGUUGAA